UACGAGAGGCCCAAACGUUAUUCGGAUUUACUGGGCGUAAAGAGCGCGUAGGCGGCCUAUUAAGUCAGGGGUGAAAUCUCCAGGGCUCAACCCGGAAACUGCACUUGAUACUGUUAGGCUGGAGUGUCGGAGAGGUGAUUGGAAUUCCUGGUGUAGCGGUGACAUGCAUUGAUAUCAGGAGGAACACCCAUGGCGAAGGCAGAUCACUGGCCGACAACUGACGCUGAGGCGCGAAAGCGUGGGUAGCAAACAGA
rnacentral:rRNA from 1 species